UUUUGAGUUAAAGUGUGCUAAGCCACCGAGUACAUCUUUGAGGGUGUCAACCUUUUAAAACUAUAUUGGGAGGAUGAGCAGAGCUAAAAGAAGAGGAAAACAGUUGAGAUGUCAGCUAAAGAACACGCUGAAGCAAUAUCAUUUGAAAGGAAGAUUGAUGUACUAACUGCAUGCAGAUCAACAGGUAUUGUAUACUGUAUCAGUCAAAGGUGUUGACGCAGAAGGGGACUGUGGUUGGACAUACAGUACAUACCAUUCUCUUCACACAGUUAAAUUUACUCAGCACUGGCUUUCUGAGCCACAACCUGAACACUGCAAAUAGAGCAAAUGGCACAUAAAACCUGUGAAUUCUGUGGCCAUUUUUUUCAACCCCGGACACAUUUG